rnacentral:rRNA from 1 species
AACGAACGCUGGCGGCAUGCCUAACACAUGCAAGUCGAACGAGAUCUUCGGGUCUAGUGGCGCACGGGUGCGUAACGCGUGGGAAUCUGCCCUUUGGUUCGGAAUAACAGUUGGAAACGACUGCUAAUACCGGAUGAUGACGAAAGUCCAAAGAUUUAUCGCCAGAGGAUGAGCCCGCGUAGGAUUAGCUAGUUGGUGUGGUAAAGGCGCACCAAGGCGACGAUCCUUAGCUGGUCUGAGAGGAUGAUCAGCCACACUGGGACUGAGACACGGCCCAGACUCCUACGGGAGGCAGCAGUGGGGAAUAUUGGACAAUGGGCGGAAGCCUGGUCCAGCAAUGCCGCGUGAGUGAUGAAGGCCUUAGGGUUGUAAAGCUCUUCUACCCGGGAUGAUAAUGACAGUACCGGGAGAAUAAGCUCCGGCUAACUCCGUGCCAGCAGCCGCCGUAA